GGGGGGGGGAGGGAAAGGGAAGUGAGAUUUUGGGCCUCUGGUGGAGAAGAAAAGUGGGGACGAGAGAGAAAGGGAAAGGGAAAGGCAAUAAAUAUACAUAAACAAAUGAUGUUUAUGUUUAUGUUUGUGUUUUGGGUAUUUGGUUUUUUGUGUGUUGUGGGCUCUUAUGGUAGCAAUGAUAAAUUAUGAUCAUAUCAGAUUAUAAAUGUGGGUUGUCAAUGUGAUCGGCAUUGCGUUUGAGAGAGAGAGAGAGAGUUUUUAUAUAGAAAAAAAGGUUCAAGAGAGAGAGAGCUAGAGUUUGUGGCAAGUUGCACGUGGAUUGGAUAGGCGCAGGAGCACAGGAGGAAAUUCAUUAAAUAGAGAGAUGUUUGGGUUUUUGGCGUGUUUGGGAAUGGAGGAGACAAAAACCAGAAAAGGAGGAGGAGGAGGUGGAGGAGGAGGAGGAGGUCUAGGGGUAGUGGGGGCAAACGGCAAGGCAAUGCAAUGCAUAGAGAAUAGCUAGCGUGCUCUACGAACACAAUAACACCACACUAAACUCCGUACUUUUUCUCCCUCAAUUUGCUCCAAACUCUUGCUCGUUUCCCGAGACCCUAGCUUAGAUAUCAUAUACCUCUCCCUGCUCAUCUCUCUCUCUCUCUCUCUCUCUCUCUCUCUCUCUCUCUCUCUCCUCAUUUAUUUAUUCAGAUACAUCUUCUGCCCUUAUUUACUCUCUCUAUGUCUUUG
rnacentral:lncRNA from 1 species